GACGAACGCUGGCGGCGGGCUUAACACAUGCAAGUCGAACGGAAAGGCCCUGCUUUUGUGGGGUGCUCGAGUGGCGAACGGGUGAGUAACACGUGAGUAACCUGCCCUUGACUUUGGGAUAACUUCAGGAAACUGGGGCUAAUACCGGAUAGGAGCUCCUGCUGCAUGGUGGGGGUUGGAAAGUUUCGGCGGUUGGGGAUGGACUCGCGGCUUAUCAGCUUGUUGGUGGGGUAGUGGCUUACCAAGGCUUUGACGGGUAGCCGGCCUGAGAGGGUGACCGGCCACAUUGGGAAUGAGCUACGGCCCAGACUGCUACGGGAGGCAGAAGUGGAGAAUAUUGCACAAUGGGCGGAAGCAUGAUGCAGCAACGCCGCGUGCGGGAUGACGGACUUCGGGUUGUAAACCGCUUUCGCCUGUGACGAAGCGUGAGUGACGGUAAUGGGUAAAGAAGCAACGGCUAACUACGUG
rnacentral:rRNA from 1 species